rnacentral:misc_RNA from 1 species
AUUUUCUCAACUUUCUCUCUCUAAAACCCCUCUUUCUCUCUCUAGAAUACAGAACCAUCAAUGGCGUCUCCACGUGAAGAGAACGUGUACAUGGCGAAGCUUGCUGAGCAAGCUGAACGCUAUGAGGAGAUGGUAGAAUUCAUGGAGAAGGUCGUCGCGGCCUUGAACGGCGAGGAACUUACCGUCGAGGAACGCAACCUUCUCUCCGUCGCAUACAAAAACGUGAUCGGAGCUAGGAGAGCAUCGUGGCGUAUAAUUUCAUCGAUCGAGCAGAAAGAGGAGAGUCGUGGUAACGAAGAUCACGUUGCCUCCAUUAAGAAAUACAGAUCUCAGAUCGAGAAUGAGCUGACUUCGAUCUGUAACGGCAUCCUCAAGUUGCUUGAUUCCAAACUCAUCGGGUCAGCUGCUACCGGAGACUCCAAGGUUUUCUAUUUGAAAAUGAAGGGAGAUUACUACCGGUACUUGGCUGAGUUCAAAACCGGAACCGAGAGAAAAGAAGCUGCAGAGAAUACUCUUUCGGCCUACAAGUCUGCUCAGGAUAUCGCUAAUGGCGAAUUGGCCCCAACACAUCCAAUCCGAUUGGGUCUAGCUCUCAAUUUCUCAGUGUUUUACUAUGAGAUAUUGAAUUCUCCUGAUCGUGCUUGUAAUCUCGCCAAACAGGCCUUUGAUGAGGCAAUUGCGGAGCUUGACACCCUGGGAGAGGAGUCCUACAAGGAUAGCACUUUGAUUAUG